AAUCGUACCCCAAACCGACACAGGUGGUCAGGUAGAGAAUACCAAGGCGCUUGAGAGAACUCGGGUGAAGGAACUAGGCAAAAUGGUGCCGUAACUUCGGGAGAAGGCACGCUGAUGGUAGGUGAAGCGACUUGCUCGUGGAGCUGAAAUCAGUCGAAGAUACCAGCUGGCUGCAACUGUUUAUUAAAAACACAGCACUGUGCAAACACGAAAGUGGACGUAUACGGUGUGACGCCUGCCCGGUGCCG
rnacentral:rRNA from 1 species